rnacentral:rRNA from 1 species
ACGAACGCUGGCGGCGUGCUUAACACAUGCCAGUCGAACGAAGAGCGAUGGAAGCUUGCUUCUAUCAAUCUUAGUGGCGAACGGGUGAGUAACGCGUAAUCAACCUGCCCUUCAGAGGGGGACAACAGUUGGAAACGACUGCUAAUACCGCAUACGAUCUAAUCUCGGCAUCGAGGAUAGAUGAAAGGUGGCCUCUACAUGUAAGCUAUCACUGAAGGAGGGGAUUGCGUCUGAUUAGCUAGUUGGAGGGGUAACGGCCCACCAAGGCGAUGAUCAGUAGCCGGUCUGAGAGGAUGAACGGCCACAUUGGGACUGAGACACGGCCCAGACUCCUACGGGAGGCAGCAGUGGGGAAUCUUCCGCAAUGGACGAAAGUCUGACGGAGCAACGCCGCGUGAGCGAUGACGGCCUUCGGGUUGUAAAGCUCUGUUAAUCGGGACGAAAGGCCUUCUUGCGAAUAGUGAGAAGGAUUGACGGUACCGGAAUAGAAAGCCACGGCUAACUACGUG